CUAGCUGGUCUGAGAGGAUGACCAGCCACACUGGAACUGAGACACGGUCCAGACUCCUACGGGAGGCAGCAGUGGGGAAUAUUGCACAAUGGGCGCAAGCCUGAUGCAGCCAUGCCGCGUGUAUGAAGAAGGCCUUCGGGUUGUAAAGUACUUUCAGCGGGGAGGAAGGGAGUAAAGUUAAUACCUUUGCUCAUUGACGUUACCCGCAGAAGAAGCACCGGCUAACUCCGUGCCAGCAGCCGCGGUAAUACGGAGGGUGCAAGCGUUAAUCGGAAUUACUGGGCGUAAAGCGCACGCAGGCGGUUUGUUAAGUCAGAUGUGAAAUCCCCGGGCUCAACCUGGGAACUGCAUCUGAUACUGGCAAGCUUGAGUCUCGUAGAGGGGGGUAGAAUUCCAGGUGUAGCGGUGAAAUGCGUAGAGAUCUGGAG
rnacentral:rRNA from 1 species